UCAAUACUUGGAGUCUAUCGGCACAAUCAAAUUACUUAUCACAGCUAAUAAGCUUGUGGAGAAAGCAGCGCCAACCUUUUACCAACAGGAUGAUAUGAUCUUUGUUGCACUCAAGAGCUGAUCAGGAAUGUUGUUUGCCAAGGAUCAGGUGUAAGCUGUGAGAUGUGCUGGAGUGUUCCGGGGAGGCAAAGGAACCCAAGAAGGGGCCCGGGGUCUAGCCGGAGGGAGUCAGCAGCAUAGGCGGAGCCAAGGAGCUGCAAGACACCAGCAGAGCAGGAUGCCCAUCCUGAGGUUACUAGAGACUUGACCAGCUGCAAUUUAGAUAUUGUUUCACUUGUGAAGACUGCAGAUGAUGCCAACGAUAAAUGGGCUUACAAGACUGCCAUAAUAUUGUCUUGUAAUCGCAAUCAUUGUGAUCACAAGCUGUUUUUACUGUCUUGAUAAUGCUUCUUUUAUAAAAGUGGUGCUAACUACUAAGUAAUGCUUAGUAAUGCUAAUUACUAGUGUGAAACUAGUUUCUCUACUGGGUUAAACUCAGGGUUUUGAACAAUAAUAACAAUAAUAAUAAAGGGUUAAGUGCAGUGUCAAAAGCCCUAUUGACAGGAACCGAACAAGGUUUAACAAACCAUGACAAAUAUUACUGUAAGUUAGUUAUGGUGUUUUGGAAUAAUUAUGCUACUAAUUUUCAAAGAAAAAAAAAGUAACUGAAUAAACAGUCAAGCAUGUUUACUUUCAGGUCGUCAGAUAGAACCUCGGUAUUCUAAGCAUACAUUCUAGUGGAGAUUUUAGCAGAGGCUCUCCAUGGUGCCUCCUCUUAAACAUCUUUCAUAUGGCUCUUCAAAAGCACUGGGCAUCUUCUCUGUUUGGCUGUCAACUUUUGUUCUUUUUGAAAGGGAAGAUCUCUUUAUGAAUGUGAAAGA